CAAGAAAAAUUUCUAAGAUACCAUUUAAAGUUUUAGAUGCUCCAGAACUGCAGGUUACCAAACUCUGUGAUCUUGCAUCUGAUGGGGACUCUGUGACAUCUGUGUCUUGGUCAGAAAGGAGUGGUCUGGUUGCUGUUGGGACUCACAAGGGUGACUUGUUCAAAUCUGGGAUGCAGGUGCACAAAAGAGAGUGUCUUAACUAUUGAAGGACAUACUGCUAUAGUUGGUGCCCUGGCAUGGAAUGAUGAAUUGUGCUCUCACCAGGGAGUAGGGACAGGCUGAUUCUACAGCAUGAUGCUAGAACACCCAAUGCUGUGGAGAGAAGAUUGAUUGGACACAGGCAAGAGGAAUCCAAGUCAGAGCUCAAUCACCAGUUUCCAGAAUAAGAUGAUGUUUACCCUAAGAAUUGGAUCUUCAACGUAAUGUACCGGUCAAUGUAAACCCCCGCACCCCCCGGCCGGGACAUAGCGGGGCAUUUGACAAGCGCUCACUUCUAAAGUUGCAAAGGACCCCAAGCCGCCAUCUUACCGGACUAGCAAUUCUUGACCCACUCCACUUCGGUGAAAAAUACCCCGGUCCACUCCCCCGCUGUUCUUGGAUGACGUGCAAAAGAGGUUAAUGUCCCCGAUACCUGCGGCCCUUUCGCUCGGCAAAAUUUUUAAGGACACAGUCACACAGUUAUUCUGUAACUUUUAUUUCAAUUCGAUUGAUAGGUUUAUUGAAUAAAGGUGUUUCUUUGGUCUAAUAACCUGGUUUUUCAGAUGGGUUUAUAUCUAGAGUUGUGAUUUCUUUCAAAAUUGUGGAAAUUUUAUAUAAAAAAAUUGCAAAGGAAUUGAGAUUAAAAGUGUUAAAAGAAAUGGAAAGAAGUCUCAAGAGGUAUAUUUUCCAAGCCACAAUGACGACAGAAAUGAAAUCAAAAUUUAUUGCCUUGUAAGAUUACAUUGAUUGCAAUACAGCUUAAAACUGUGACUCAUGCAUGAGUAAUUUUUUCGAGGACCUUGGGCAAGGUACUUCCUUGAGAUUAUCCAACAUUUCAAUACUGUUUGCAUUUUCACUCCUCUCGAUUAGAUAAAAAUAGAGCUUUACACCUUAGUUUGUGGAAUUCCAGUUACUCAUUGUUUCAGACUUUGAAUUUAUUUGUGGCAAAACUAAAAUUUCAACUCUAGGCAAACUUAUGGCUGUCCAUGUUUACUUUUUACAUGGCAUCAGUUUCUUGUACACAGGAAACUGAUGUCAGAAACUGAAGCAGAAAAAUGAAAUGGACAGAUGUGUUGUUUGUGUCAAAAAAUUGAGAUUAAAAGCAUUAAAAAUUGGAAAGAAGUCUCAAAUGUUAUGCUUUUUCUAAGCUGCAACAAGUGCUUAAUUGCAGCUGGAAUUCUAUGUGGGGUUUCCUUGCCUUCUCUUUUCAUUCGUUUUACAUGUGGAAUUCAUCUCUGAUGU